UUGAACGCUGGCGGCAGGCCUAACACAUGCAAGUCGAACGGUAACAGGAAGCAGCUUGCUGCUUCGCUGACGAGUGGCGGACGGGUGAGUAAUGUCUGGGAAACUGCCUGAUGGAGGGGGAUAACUACUGGAAACGGUAGCUAAUACCGCAUAACGUCGCAAGACCAAAGAGGGGGACCUUAGGGCCUCUUGCCAUCGGAUGUGCCCAGAUGGGAUUAGCUAGUAGGUGGGGUAACGGCUCACCUAGGCGACGAUCCCUAGCUGGUCUGAGAGGAUGACCAGCCACACUGGAACUGAGACACGGUCCAGACUCCUACGGGAGGCAGCAGUGGGGAAUAUUGCACAAUGGGCGCAAGCCUGAUGCAGCCAUGCCGCGUGUAUGAAGAAGGCCUUCGGGUUGAAAAGUACUUUCAGCGGGGAGGAAGGGAGUAAAGUUAAUACCUUUGCUCAUUGACGUUACCCGCAGAAGAAGCACCGGCUAACUCCGU
rnacentral:rRNA from 1 species